rnacentral:rRNA from 1 species
CCUACGGGCGGCAGCAGUGAGGAAUAUUGGUCAAUGGGCGCGAGUCUGAACGAGCCAAGUAGCGUGAAGGAUGACUGCUCUACGGAUGGUAAACUUCUUUUAUAAAGGAAUAAAGUGAGUCACGUGUGCCUUUUUGUAUGUACUUUGUGAAUAAGGGUGGGCUAACUCCGGGCCAGCAGCCGCGGUAAUACGGAGGAUCCGAGCGUUAUCCGGAUUUAUUGGGUUUAAAGGGAGCGUAGAUGGGUUGUAAAGUUCGUUGGUAAAGAUUGCGGCCCAACCGUAAUAUUGCAAAUGAUACUGGCAGUCUUGAGUACAGUUGAGGUAGGCGGAAUUCGAGGUGUAGCGGUGAAAUGCUUAGAUAUCACUAAGAACUCCGAUUGCGAAGGCAGCUUACUAAGCUUGUACUGACAUUGAUGCACGAAAGUGUGGGUAGCAAACAGGAUUAGAUACCCCUGUAGUC